GCGGCCUGAUUACAAACCGGACGUCUGAAGGUCAGCCGACCGCAGAGUCGAUGUGGACCCUUGUCCCCCGUGGCUGAGUG
rnacentral:snoRNA from 1 species